UUCGUUCAGUGCAGCCCUCUCUCUCUCUCUCCGCCUCUGUAAAAUCUAAAAGAGAAGAAAGCUUCUCAAAAACCCUAGUUGCUUCUUUACUAUUAGUGAUUCCACCCAUCCCCUAACUAGGAACUGUAACAGCAGAACAACAAAGACUGCCCUAUCCUUGGCCGCAGUCGAAUCGAGAGGGGGUACAAGUACGCCAGUGCUUUUCUUUGGCUAUCCCAGCUAUCGAGCUGGACUGAUUGACACUGUUUUACUCCCCGGUCUUUCUUUCUCUCCGAAGGCUUCAACGAGAAAAGAGGGGUUAAUCUUGGCCCGAAGAAAGUCAGGCUAGCAACGCCAAAAUAAGAUGCCCUAUCUCUCCCCGUCUCUAUAACCCAGCCGUAACGGUAUCCCUACUUCUCAAGUUCAGAUUUCUACUAUUCUUCUAACUCUCUACUUAUUUCCUUCAUAGCCUCCCUUCAGGUUCGUCUUUCUCUCUCUCUCUCCCCCCCACACACACAAACAUAUUGUUUUUAAUCUCACUGCAUAACUAGCUCUUACGAUUUUAAUUUUUUGUUUAAUUUAAAGUAAUUGUUAUGCUUUUAUUAUUACAAUAAGCUUAUGUACACUCAUUUUGCUGUUGAUGGUACUAUUCAUGCAUCAUUAAGAAUUUAUUGGCAAAAGAAGGACAAUUGAGAAUCAAUUUAGUGCUAUCUAAAACGUAAUGGAAUUAUUUGUUCCCAUGGAAUCCAAAUGUCCCCAUUCCUUUCCAUGAUUAUAUAGUAUUGUCAUUCUCAUCAUUUUAUCAGUUAAGAUAAAAUUCCCAUAUUGGGAAACAAGAAUAAAAGAUGCAUAUUGCAUCAUUAAUAAAGCAUGCAUAGACUUGAAACUUGAAUGGCAACCAGUUUAGAUGGAGGCCAAACACAAGUUCAUGGUGAUAUAUAUAUGUGUGUGUAUGUGUGCAUGUGCGCAUAUAUGAAAUUUCAAUGUCAAUUUAUAAUUCCCUUGACAAAACCCCACAUUUAAUAGUACAUGACCUGUAAUAUGUGAACACAGAAGUGUUGCCUUCUGACAUGAACAGAAGGUGCUAAACACACAUCACCAUACACAUAAAAGGUGAAUCUUGUUAUAUUUGAAUAUUUGAAUAUCCUAUCCUUGUUGUAGAGACUUAAGUAGUGAAGAAAGUAUAAAAUAAUAAUAAUAAAAAAGUGUCACUCACUUCUUAUUUUGCAUUAUAUAGUAUGGGUGAAAUCUAGUAUAGAGUCAACAAGUGUUUGACACAGUAAUACCAAGCUUGAGAUCCAGGUUAGUAAGGGAUGGUUUUAGUAUUGUACUUGUAGUCUGAACUUUCAAUUAAUAUUAAAUAAUGGUGCUUUUAAUGGUUUGAAAGAGUAUUAAAAUGUUAAGCUUAUAAUCUGGUAAAUACAGAUCAAAUUGGACAAAGAAAAGAAAAUUAUUAGGCUGGCCGUGAUAAAGGGAUAGGUAUGACGAAAGAGGAUUUGAUUAAGAACUUGGGAACCAUAGCCAAAUCUGGAACAUCAGCUUUUGUGGAGAAAAUCCAAACAAGUGGAGACCUUAAUCUCAUUGGUUAGUUUGGUGUUGGGUUCUACUCAGUAUAUCUUAUUGCUGACUAUGUUGAAGUUGUUAACAAACAUAAUGAUGAAAAACAGUAUGUAUGGGAAUCAAAGGUUGAUGGAGCAUUUGCUAUUUCUGAGGAUGUUUGGAAUAAGCCACUUGGUCGUGGAACUGAAAUCAGAUUGCAUCUUAGAGAAGAAGCCGGGGAGUACUUGGAGGAGAUCAAAUUAAAGUUACUUGCUAGGAUUUUGUAGCAUGGACAAUGAGGUGGUUUUUUGACAAGUGCAGACUUAAACUCAAGUGCUAGAAGGUUUAUAAAUUUGCUAAAUAGAAGUGCUAGGAAAUUGAUGAUAUUCUUGACAAAUGGAUUUAGUUCCUGUUUUGGAACAUUGAUGAAUGGUAAAUUGUUUUGGAAUAUUAGUAAAUGAUGAAUUUUUUAAUUGUAGAAUGAAUUUUUUUUUGUAGUGAUAGGUAGA